GUUUCCUGGGCUUCUCCUUAACCUGGGUAGUAUUCUUUGUACAGGUUUAAGUCUGAACUCUGUAAGUACAGAAGUCAGCAUGUACAUUUGCUAUUUGUUCUUUUAUUCUGGAAUAUCUUUAAAAUUUGGACCCAUAAGGAAACACCACACUCAUUUCAUCUCUUCAUCCUAUUGUGCCUCUUUGCAACUUCAGCAUACUCAGCUAUUCUCUUCUCCUUCUGACACGCUUCUCCCCUGACUUGCAUACCAUCACACUUCUCCUCAGUUUCCUUCUUACUCUCUGGCUACUCCUUUCUUGCUUCCUAACUAGCUUCUCCCUCUUUUCCUAUGCCUGACAUUUAAAUGCUGAGAUUUCCUGUGCUCUUUCUGGUCACUCAGUUCUCAUUUUAUACUUUUCUUUUCAGGUGAUCCCACAGAAGUCGUCUGGCUUCCAUUGUCAACUUUGUGUCCAAUAAACCCAGAUACACAUUCCCAGACCCUUUUCCUCUAUCCUCCAAGCGCAUUGAUCCACCUGCCUGCUGGACAUCUCAGCUUAGUUUCCUCACUGAUCCCCUUAAACCUCUAAUUCAAGUGCCCAAAGCUAAACUUAUGACUGUUCCAUCCAUGACCUCUCCCAAGAAGUGGCUUAGUUAUACAGCCAGUUGCUGUGGCAGAAACCCAGCGGUUUUCCAUAAACUUCCCAUAUUCAAUCAAUCACAAAAUAUUUCAUGAAGUUCCUUCCAGUUAUUCCAUGAUCAUGAUAAGCCUCUCUGUCUCUUCUCAAGCUGGGAUGUUUGGGCAUCUCAUGCCCAGAUCCUGGAAAUUGAGUGUCACAAGACCCAAGCCUUGCUGACCAGGACCUUCCUGCGAUUUGCUGAACCAAUGGAAAGCUUCUUAGGUGACAAACCUGAAGCACAAGUGAAAGCAGUAUCAACCUUUCUUCUUGAAGGACAACAGGCCAACCAUGAAAGUCUUGGGCCCUCUCUUCCUUAGGAUUUAUUGCCCUUCUGAUCUUUAACACCAGUUGAUACCGAGGAGAAAUCUGAAGUCAAGUUGAUCUUUUGUUUUUCUUCCCUUGGGAGAAACUUGAAUUUUCCAGUUAGAAUGAUCAUGUAAGUUUCCCUUUAUCUUUUAUUUAAUUUUUUAAUUAAUUAUACAUUACAGUAGAAUGUAUUUGGCACACUGUACACAAAUGGAGCACAAUUUAUCUUCCUCUGACUGAACAUGGUGCAGAGUCACACCAAUAGUGUAAUCAUACAUGUAUAUAGGGUAAUAAUAUCCAUCUCAUUCCACCAUCCUUCCAUCCCACACUCCCUCCCCUUCCAGCACUCCCCUCUGCAUAAUCCAAAGUUCCUUUAUUCUUCCCUAACCCCCCCCCCCAUUAUGGAUUAGCAUCUGCUUAUCAGAGAAAACAUUCAGCCUUUGGUUUUGGGGUUUGGCUUAUUUCGCUUAGCAUGAUAUUCUCCAGCUCCCUCUUUAAGAAUGUGAAUAUGUACCACAUUUAUCUGUUGUAGGGCAUCUACGUUGAUUCCAAAGUUGCUAGCUAUAGUGAGUUGAGCUGCUAUAAACAUUGAUAAGGCUGUGUCACUGUAGUAUGCUGCUUAUUAUUUGGUUAUAAAACAAGGAGUGGGAUAACUGUGUCAAAUUGUGGUUCCAUUCCAAGUUUUCUGAGGAAUAUCCACACUGCUUUCCAGAGUGGGUUGCACCAAUUUGCAGUCCCGCUAUUAAUGUGUAAGUAUACCUUUUUCCCUACAUCCUCACUAACAUUUAUUGUUGUUUGUAUUCUUGAUAAUUGCCAUUCUGAUGGGAAUGAGAAGGAAUCUUAAAGUAGUUUUGACUUGGAUUUCUCUAAUUAGUAGAGAUGAUAAACAUUUUUUUUUUUCAUGUUUGUUAAUUUGAGUGUAUAUCUUCUUCUGAGAAGUGUCUGUUCAGUUCCUUAGCUCAUUUAUUGAUUGGGUUAUUUGAGGGGUUUUUUAGUUGUUAGUUUGGUUGGUUUGGGGUGUUAAGUUUUUGAAUUCUUUAUAUAUCCUGGAGAUUAAUGCUCUAUCUGAGGUGCAUGUGCUAAAGAUUUUCUACCAUUCUGUAGGCCUUCUCUUUUUGUUAUUAAUUGUCUCUUUUGCUGAGAAGCAGCUUUUUAGUUUGAAUCCAUUUAUUGAUUCUUGAUUCUACUUCUUGCACUUUAGGAGCCUUGUUAAGAAAAUCAUUCCUAGGCCGACAUGGUGGAGAUUUGGUCCUACUUUUUUCUUCUAUUAGGCGCAGGGUCUGUGUUCAAGUGCCUAAGUCUUUGAUCAACUUUGAGUUGAUUUUUGUGUAGGGUAAGAGAGGUUUAAUUUCAUUUUCCAACAUAUGGAUUUCCAGUUUUCCUAGAAUCAUUUGUUGAAUGGGCUAUCUUUCCCCCCAAUGUAUGUUUUUGGUGCCUUUGUCUAGUGUGAGAUAAUCUUACUUAGGUGGGUUUAUCUCUGUGUCUUCUGUACCAUUGGUUUACAUGUCUGUUUUGGUGCCAAUACCAUGCUGUUUUUGCUUCUGUAGCUCUGUAGUGUCAUUUUAGGUUUGGCAUGGAGAGAUCUUUCCAUCUUAUAAGGUCUUCUUCAAUUUCUUUCUUUAGUGUUCUGUAGUUUUCAUUGUAGAGGUCUUUCAUUUCUUUUGUUAGAUUGAUUCCCAGAUGUUUUUUUUUUUUUGAGGCUAUUGUGAAUGGGGUAGUUUUCCUAAUUUCUCUUUCAGUGGAUUCCUCAUUGAUGUAUAAGAAUGCAUUUGAUUUAUGAGUAUUGAUUUUAUAGCCUGCUACUUCGCUGAAUUCAUUUAUUCCAGAAGUUUUCUGGUAGAAUUUUUCGGAUCCUCCAAGUAUAGAAUCAUGUCGCCAGCAAAUAGUGAUGGUUUGAGUUCUUCUUUUCCUGUUCGUAUCCCUUUAAUUUCUUUUGUGAGAGCAAGAGUUUCAAGGACUAUGUUGAAUAAAAGUAGUGAGAGCAGGCAUCCCCGUCUUGUUACAGUUUUUAUGGGGAAUGCUUUUGGUUUUUCUCCUUUUAUUUUAUUUUUUUUUUUAAUUUUUUAUUGUUGGCUGUUCAAAACAUUACAUAGUUCUUGAUAUAUCAUAUUUCACAAUUUGAUUCAAGUGGGUUAUGAGCUCCCAUUUUUACCCCAUAUACAGAUUGCAGAAUCACAUCAGUUACACAUCCAUUGAUUUACAUAUUGCCAUAUCCUUUAUUUCAAAGAUCAGUCUAACUAUGUACUUUCUAAACUUCUUCUCUGGCAUUUCUUCUACUAUGUUGUCUAUGGAUUCUGUUGCUGGAACAUCUUGGUUUGAUUGAGGUGCUUUGUUCUCUUGUUUUUUCAAGUUGUUUUUGUGUCCAUCUAGCGGUAUGGAUCUGAGGCAGUACAGUUUCUUAUAGUGUCCCUGCAGGCUUCUAGUACCUCACCUUUGAGGGGGAGACCAAUAUUAACAGCACCCAAUGCAAGCAAUAUACAACCUUAAACCAAAUAGCUCCUAUUAAGGAGCUACAGUUUUGUCUCAGUAAACAGAAAUGAUGUGUUCAAUUAUUGUCUACAAUAUAAACAGUAAGUUUGCUAAAAGGGUUUACUAUUUCAAAUGCUGGACAGAAGGAACAGAAGUAGUGGAGGAUGUGAUGUUUAUGAGGGAGGAGAGAAGAUAGAGGUAAAAAUUUAUAGUAAGAGCAAAGAAGGAAUUAGUAGAGGUUGGCUGUUUAGCAUGAGAGAAGUGAGAAAGAGAAUCCAGGGAGACAGAAGUGAAAGAAAAAAAUAUAGAUUUUUUUUUUUAAAGUAAAAAUUUAAGAAUACAAAACCAAACUUUGAUAUACUAGUCAGACAUCCCACUCCUCAAUAAACUGAUGCAUGAAAAAUAUUUGAAUUCAUACAUGGUAGAGAUGUGAGAAAAAGGGAAAAAGAAAGAAAAAAAAAAGGAAAGUCUCUAUGGAAAGUUGAACAGUUGCUUCCAUUGGCUUUCAAAAAUUUUCUCAGCUUUUCUUUUCCGCCAAUAGGUGGGAUUUUCUAAAGUUUGAUGGUAGCUCCGCAGUCUGAUAGCAGGAUGCCCUCAUACCCUCUUCUAACCUUUGCACUUGUAGCUAGGCCCUUCUGUCCCAGGGCACUUCAGGAUUCCUGGUUCUUUCCAGUUUCUCCAACCUGUGUGCUCCCCACCCCAGGGAACUGCCCCAAGACUCUGGCUUUCCACAGGCUUGCCAGGCCCAGACUGGCCCACACAGACCCAUCUGCAAUCUGAUGGACCUGGGCUUCAGAUUCCCCAGGCUCUGCCUUGCUGCAGUCCCAAGAUCUCAAUGCUAUUCCAACUAUCAGAAAGACUACCAGGGAUGUGCUCACACAAAGGAGCCACCCUGCAAAGAGGCAGCCAGAUCACGGCUACUAGCACACCCAGCAAGUGCAUCCAGACCUACAGGUAUCCUGAUGAUAUAUCUCUAGGACCUGACUAGUAUCUCCAGACUGAGGCAGCCAGCCCUGAGAUGCAGUGGUGGCAGUAGCAAACCUUCAGGCCCCUUGGCCCUAGACUCCCAGGCCCUGGCCAGUUUCCCAAGAUGGCUGCAAUCAUGUCUAACUUAACCUGAAGGUACCCUGACAAUGGACUUCUGGGCAGCAAUGGGCCCGGCAGUCUGCCAGCAAAGGGUGGGCAUUUGGCUGGCUAAAGGCAUAGAUGAGCAGGUAAAAGGCAGGCAAACGGGCAGCCAGUGGGCAGUCAGUGGAAGUAGCCACUGAUCAGCACCCAAAAGGCAUGUGGUAUACUGGAAAAGGGGCUGGCGGACAAAGUAGGGGCAAACAGCAGGGGAUCAGUGGGCAGCAAGGGCUGUCUCUCAGAGAAACAGUAUUUCACCUGCUUGUAUCCCAAGUCACAGAGCAACAAGGAAUACAGCCUCCCUCUAGUUCUCUUGGAUCUCUUCCUCCCUUUAUCUUUGAAUUUCGGUAAACUGUACCAGAAUGACUUAAUUAUUUGAUUUUUCCUGGAUACAUUUCCCUUUAAAUCUGAAGAUUCUUUCAUUCCAGUUCUGCCACUCACUGAAGUAUUUUCUUUGGCUAAUUACUCAGUUUUGUUGUGAGUGCAGUAAGGAUCAUGAUAAUCCUUAAACUAAUUCAAUUAUUGUGAACCUUAAAUGAGAUAAUGCAGGCUGGAGUUGUGGCUCAGUGGCUUAUAUAACUAAAAGUUAUAUAAGUACACUGAAAUAUCAAAACAUUUUCUUAGUUUAUUUCACAAUAAAGGAUGCAUUUAAUGUUUUGUGUUUGGUCUUGCCUUAUUUAAUCCUCAUACUGUUAUUUUUAAUUUGGACAUUUCUUCCCAACUAUAUUAUGAGUUUUUAAGGGCUGACGUUCUGUUUACCUUAAAAUACUCCAUAUAUCUAUAUUGGUUCAAUUCAAUGAAUAUUUACUUAUAGGCUCAUAUCCUGGUUCCUCUGAUUUCUGAGCAUUUGUCACACAUGUAUGAAGCUAUGUUUCCUGUCCAAGGAAAUAAAUAAUAUAAUUCAGUUCUCUCCUUAAAUUCAAAGUAAAACUCUAACAUUGUCCACUUUUUUUUUAACCACUUAGUGGUUUUUAAUAUAUUCCUAGAGUUGUACAGCCAUCACCAAUUCCAGAAUAUUUUCAUCACUCACAAAGAAACACCAUAUCUAUUAGCAGCCACUCCCUGUUCCUCCCUGCCCUAUCCCCAGGAACUACUGAUUUAUUUCCUGUCUGUAUCAUUUGUUCUGUUCUGGAUAUUUUGACUGAAUUGCAUAUGUCUGGCUUCUCUUAUUCACAUAGUUUUCAGGAUUUACCUAUGUUACAGUGUGAAUCAGCACUUCUUUCUGUGGUAUAAUAACAUUCUAUUAUUUGUAUAUUCCACAAUUUUUUACUCAUUCAUCUAUUGAUGAGCACGUGUGUGAGGUUCUCUCUGCUGUGAAUCUGUUUUUGCCAAUGGGAUAGCCCUGAUUGAAGUGAAUAAGGAGACAGUCUCUAUGUGGAAGGCUACACAAUCCCCCAGAUGAAGGAGGAGGCAUUUAGGGGAAUUUGAUAGUGCUAGUGCCAUUCUAGAUUUGGGGAAAUACCAAUUUUAAAGGCUCUAUUAGCAUGCACAUAAUUAUUAGACUUAUGUUUCUUCUGAGUAUCAGGAAGAGACAGUCCUGACCUUGGGCAUGUUCUGAUUUCUUAUUUACUCUCUCCAUUGGCCUGGUCGGUUAUUUUUUCCUGAGAUUCCUUCCUUUAUGUCUCAUUUUUUUUUUGCUUCUUUUUGACCAGGAGCUCCUGUGUUCUGCAAACAUAGAACUGAAGAAGUGUGACAAACCCAGAUAUCCAUAGCUAAGGUAUCAAACUGAAGACAAUAGAUGCAGUGAAUCUACAUAAAACCCAGAAUACUGAGCUGCAACUUGGGUUAGGAGUAGGGGACAGUGGAGAAUACUUGGAAAUUUCAGUUCAAUAAAGAGAUGAAAGUUAUAUAAGUACACCGAAAUAUUAAAGCAUUUUCUUAGUUUAUUUCACAAUAAAGG
rnacentral:lncRNA from 1 species